rnacentral:rRNA from 1 species
UACAGAGGUGGCAAGCGUUGUUCGGAAUUACUGGGCGUAAAGGGCGCGUAGGCGGCCUACUAAGUCAGACGUGAAAUCCCCCGGCUUAACCUGGGAACUGCGUCUGAUACUGGAAGGCUUGAGUAUGGGAGAGGGAUGUGGAAUUCCAGGUGUAGCGGUGAAAUGCGUAGAUAUCUGGAGGAACAUCGGUGGCGAAGGCGGCAUCCUGGACCGGUAUUGACGCUGAGGCGCGAAAGCCAGGGGAGCAAACGGG